ACAAUAAAUCACAAUGCGGGACUAUUCGUCUUGCAAUUGGAUUGAGAACAAUGUACAACUCUUAUCGAUAAGCCAUUGGAGGGCAAGUCUGGUGCCAGCAGCCGCGGUAAUUCCAGCUCCAAUAGCGUAUAUUAACGUUGUUGCAGUUAAAAAGCUCGUAGUUGAAGUGUGGGUGGUGCCUACUUCAUGACUUCGGUUGUGAGGAUGAUCACUACCCCCUUCCAGUAUCCAGUAGUGGGUAUUCAGUUACUUACUACUGUGUGUUGGUCGUUUACUGUGAGAAAAUUAGAGUGUUCAAAGCAGGCGUUUGCUUGAAUAGAUUAGCAUGGAAUAAUAAUUGAAGGCUUUCGUGUUCGAUUUGAUUGGUUUGUUCAUGGAAGCAAGGUUAAAAGGAACAGUUGGGGGUAUUCAUAUUCACUAGUUAGAGGUGAAAUUCUCGGAUUUAUGGAAGAUGAACAA
rnacentral:rRNA from 1 species